rnacentral:lncRNA from 1 species
UUCAGUACAGGGCAUGCUAAUCUUUGAGGUCCUGUCUCAGGAUCCCAUUUAUCAACUACAGGGUUUGAGGGCCACUCAGCUGUCUCCAUCGGUGGGGCUGUUGGUUGAAUUAUGCCCUCUUGUGAUAAAACGGAGUUAGUAACAGCCUCCUGUUGUGGCCUUUUUCCUAACAACCCCUUUUCCUUUAAAUUUUCUUCCUCUGUCUGACUAGCUCGAGAGACCUUCUCUUUUGCUUGAUCUAAAAUGUCUUUCUCCAUGGUCUGAACCUCUAACAAUU